rnacentral:lncRNA from 1 species
GUGGGCAAACGUACAAAAUCAGCAGGGGAUCAAAUACUUUUUUCCCCCACUGUAUGGAUACCUACAUUUGGGUCUCCUUAGCUGCUGGAUUUAUCCGUCCCUAUUCCUCUCCCGCCAGCACAGGGUUCUUCUUCAUGGAGAAAAAGGACAAGACCUUGUGCGAGUGAAUUGACCAACGACAUUACGGUUAAGAACCGUUACCCACUUCCACUCAUCUCCUCGGCCUUCGUGCCGCUCCAGAGGGCCACUGUGUUUUCCAAGCUAGAUCUAUGGAAUGCCUACCACAUGGUGCGGAUACGAGCGGGGGAUGAGUGGAAGACCGCCUUCAACACCGCCAGUGGCCACUACGAGUAUCUGGUCAUCCCCUUUGGCCUCACCAACGCCCCUGCUGUGUUCCAGGCUAUGGACAUGUUGAACCGGUUCAUCUUCGUCUACAUUGAUGACAUCCUCGUCUUCUCCCGCUCCCCUCAAGAACACGUGCUCCAGUCCGGCAGGUCCUUCAACGCCUUCUGGAGAAUCAGCUGUUUAUGAAGGCGGAGAAGUGUGAGUUCCAUCGCUCCACCAUCCCCUUUCUGGGUUACAUCAUCUCUGCUGGGAGUGUCCAGAUGGAUCCUGGGAAGUUGAGACGCCUCCUGAGGGUUCGACCACGGGGAAGGGGUUUCCAGUACCUGGUUGACAGGGAGGGUUGUGGCCUGGAGGAGAGGUGCUGGGUCCCCGAUAGAGACAUCCUGGACCCAGCCCACAUCGCUGACUUCCGGCACCCCGGUCAACCAGAGACUCACAGGAGCAACCAGGGUCAAGCACCACGCCCAGGAGCAACCAGGGUCAAGCACCACGCCCAGGAGCAACCAGGGUCAAGCACCACACCCAGGAGCAACCAGGGUCAAGCACCACACCCAGGAGCAACCAGGGUCAAGCACCACGCCCAGGAGCAACCAGGGUCAAGCACCACGCCCAGGAGCAACCAGGGUCAAGCACCACACCCAGGAGCAACCAGGGUCAAGCACCACGCCCAGGAGCAACCAGGGUCAAGCACCACACCCAGGAGCAACCAGGGUCAAGCACCACGCCCAGGAGCAACCAGGGUCAAGCGCCACGCCCAGGAGCAACCAGGGUCAAGCACCACGCCCAGGAGCAACCAGGGUCAAGCACCACGCCCAGGUGCAACCAGGGUCAAGCACCACACCCAGGAGCAUGGCAAACAGAUCUCUCACCAGGUCAAAUCGGGGAGACGGACCAGCGAACUACUGGCCACCGAUAGAAGCAGCCAAUAGGAGGGCUGAUAAGAACCCAACCCAGAGAACACAGAGAUAUCCACUCUCAUCCCUCCCUCAUCCCUCUAUCCUCCACUCUCAUCCCUCUAUCCUCCCCUCUCAUCCCUCUAUCCUCUCCUCUCAUCCCUCCCCCAUCCCUCUAUCCUCCACUCUCAUCCCUCUAUCCUCCACUCUCAUCCCUCUAUCCUCCCCUCUCAUCCCUCUAUCCUCUCCUCUCCUCUCAUCCCUCUAUCCUUUCUUCUCAUCCCUCUAUCCUCCCCUCUCAUCCCUCUAUCCUCUCUUCUCAUCCCUCUAUCCUCUCCUCUCAUCCCUCAAUACUCUCCUCUCAUCCCUCUAUCCUCUCCUCUCAUCCCUCUAUCCUCUCCUCUCAUCCCUCUAUCCUCUCCUCUCAUCCCUCUAUCCUCCCCUCUCAUCCCUCUAUUCUCCAAUCUCAUCCCUCUAUCCUCUCCUCUCAUCCCUCUAUCCUCCCCUCUCAUCCCUCUAUCCUCCCCUCUCAUCCCUCUAUCCUCCCCGCUCAUCCCUCUAUCCUCC